CUAAUAAAAGAUGUAUCUACAUUUCUUCUAGGUUACCUUCCGAACAAGAAUCUAUCACUGUAAUAUUAACAGCCAAGGCGUGAUCUGUUUGGAUAUCCUAAAGGAUAACUGGAGUCCAGCCCUAACCAUCUCUAAAGUCCUUCUCUCCAUCUGCUCACUUCUCACAGAUUGCAACCCUGCCGACCCUCUGGUGGGCAGCAUUGCCACACAGUACAUGACCAACAGAGCAGAGCAUGACCGGAUGGCCAGACAGUGGACCAAGCGGUAUGCCACAUAGGGGCCUGCCACUGCUGCCCCUGCCGGACCUGUGCAAGCACAUUCACCAAGUGCAUCAAUAGCCCUACCACCCCUCUGGACCUCGGUUCUUAUCUUCCUAGUUUUAUUAAAUUUUGAACUGUUUUGUGAUGGUAUGUCAUUAUUCACUCCCUUCCUCCUCCUUCCUCCCUCCUCUGUCCUCCCCUUUUCUCUCUCCCUCUCUUUUCUCUUUUCCUUUUCUGUUAACUUGAAAGAUUUUGGAUUUUUUUUCCCCACCUCAAUGUGGAUGGGAACUUUUGUUUUCAGUGCAGACGAUGUUGGAUCUGUAAUAGUAAGAGCUUUCUUACAAAGCUUUGUAUUACUGUGUGGUUUUGUUUCUGUUGGUUUUUUUUGUUUUUUUUUUUCUUUUAUGUGAUCUUUGGAAAAACACAAAUUCAGAAUUAUAUCUUGUUUCUACUUAAAUGUAGUGCUUAGGGUUAAUUUUUUGUACUGAAGUCUUUAUUGGUGGGUGCAUGCUACUGGGAACAAGUUUUUGUACAAAAGCUUCAAUCAGAAUCACUGUGCAUUACUGAGACCCUGUUUAUCACUAGCCUUCUGUUCCCCAUGCAGAAGACUAUUGGAUGGAACAAAAAUAAUAAUGUAUUUUGAUUUACUUAAAGUGCUUGUAAAUUUCUUAGGGACCUGCCACUUUUGACUGUGGAUCAGUUGAUGUACACUUGUAUUAUUAAAACACUCAAUAAAUCACUGUGGCUGAUAAAUGUA